GAUGAACGCUGGCGGCGUGCUUAACACAUGCAAGUCGAACGGUGAAAGCGGAGCUUGCUCCGCUGGAUCAGUGGCGAACGGGUGAGUAACACGUGGGCAACCUGCCCCUCACUUCGGGAUAACUCCGGGAAACCGGGGCUAAUACCGGAUAUGACCUCCUUGGGCAUCCUUGGAGGUGGAAAGUUUUUCGGUGAGGGAUGGGCCCGCGGCCUAUCAGCUUGUUGGUGAGGUAGUGGCUCACCAAGGCGACGACGGGUAGCCGGCCUGAGAGGGUGACCGGCCACACUGGGACUGAGACACGGCCCAGACUCCUACGGGAGGCAGCAGUGGGGAAUAUUGCACAAUGGGCGGAAGCCUGAUGCAGCAACGCCGCGUGAGGGAUGACGGCCUUCGGGUUGUAAACCUCUUUUAGCAGGGAAGAAGCGAAAGUGACGGUACCUGCAGAAAAAGCACCGGCUAACUACGUGCCAGCAGCCGCAGUAA
rnacentral:rRNA from 1 species